CUGAAAGUGUUAUUUUGGAUGAGCAAAUAUUCCGAGUAAAAAGUGUUGUUAAGCAUCAUGGAAACACCAUUGGAUCUGGUCAUUAUACAUCUAUAGUUAAUUAUAACGAUCAAUGGUGGAAAUGUGAUGAUAAUCGCAUAACUAGAAUGUCUGGGUUUGAUAACACUUUAGAAGAUGUAUACUUAUUGCUCUUAGAAAAAUGCUAAAUUUUCUUAAAAUACUAGGACAAACCUAUUUAACAUAAACAAAAUUACAAAUGAGCAAAGUAGUAUUCAAAUAGUAUGAGCAGUGAGUUUUGCAUUGCAAGCAAAUAAAACAUCAGUUUACUCACACUUCUAGCUCAACAUGCAUCCAGGGGUUAUCCGGCCCGACUGUAACCAAAACUUUUGACGCACUUCGAUUCAGAUACUAGGUUAUGAUCUCCCGCCCCCCAAAAGAUUUCACUACGUGAUAUCUUUAUAUAUUAGAGUCAUCUUAUGCGAUAAGUGAUUAAACCUAGCUUAAUGGCCAAUUUGUUAUAAUGCAUGUAAUUACUUAUUGCAAUGGGUGACGGAUUUUUCAUACGGCGAGGCAACUUUUGCUAUUAAUAAGUCUUGAGGUAUCAAAAGUCGGAGUAUAAAGAUUAGUGAGUGGUAAAUAGUAGAUAAUUGUAGAAGUGCCUUGUGCUAUUGGCAUGGCUUACUAUUAAUCAUUCGCUUUCUCAAUGAAAAUCCCUUUUCUAGUUUUAUAUAUAUUUUUAAAUAUAUAUUUAAAUAUAAAAGUCUCUCUGGGAGAGUAAACUAUACAAUUUCAUAUUUAUCUGUAAAACAUAUAAUUUUGCUAUGUGGCUACUAAGCACAAUUAAUUCUUUAAUUUAUAUUUCAUGGUUUAUUUUCAAUGUGAUAUGGAAAUGUAUGGUUUAUCUUUAAAAAUAGCAAAUCAACAGACCAUGUCUGUUUUGUUUAAAUAUGCUAUAUUAAUUUAAAACAGCAUAACCUCGUAAAAUCAGUUUUCGUUAUAAAUGUUCAUGAUAUAAAUAUGAGAUAUUAUUAUGUUAAUUUAUUAAGAAUUUUUUAGAGAAAGUUGAUGUAAUUAAUUCGCGAUUUACAAAAAACUGAUUUUCGCUCUGACAAGUGCCUCUCAAGUCCUGGAUGAUUCUUAAACAAAUAAAAUUCUUUUUUCAGCAACAUUAUCUUCUGAUUGUGACAAAUGUUUUGUCAUAGUAAUUUAAUAUUUUUUUAUCAUAUAUUCUUUAUUAUAUUGUAUUUAGGAAAUUAAGAUUGAAGACGAUAUUACUACUUUGAUACAACUCUGGUACCGCUCUUUCCAAAAAUAGACUGCCAACCUGUGGAGAAUAUAGAAAAAAAGAACCUACGAGAGAAAUAUAUGCCCUAUACCCGCCUCCUCGACACCCUACCCUUAUCCGACGGCUACACAUACUAUAUUAGCAGAGGCCGCCGCAGAAGAAUUUACUAAUACUAGUGUUUCUGAAGAGAGAAAUAAAAUGGAGUAAAAAAUUUCAUAAUUCUAGAUAAUUUUAUAAUUACGUUUUCUCAUUGUUGUCGUAAUAAUUAUUUUCCCUUUCGCUGUCAACUUAUGAAGCCUGAGGUUUGACUAAAAAUUAAAUAAUAGAUUACAAAUAACCAAUUUCGAAUACAGUAGAUUUUAAUUCUUAA